GAUGAACGCUAGCUACAGGCUUAACACAUGCAAGUCGAGGGGUAACGAGAGGAAAGCUUGCUUUCCUUGUCGACGACCGGCGCACGGGUGAGUAACGCGUAUCCAACCUGCCCCCGACUAGGGAAUAACCUUGCGAAAGUAAGACUAAUACCCUAUAAUUUCCUCAGAUGUCAUCUGACGAGGAAUAAAGAUUUAUCGGUUAUGGAUGGGGAUGCGUCUGAUUAGCUUGUUGGCGGGGUAACGGCCCACCAAGGAACGAUCAGUAGGGGUUCUAAGAGGAAGGUCCCCAACAGUGGAACUGAGACACGGUCCAAACUCCUACGGGAGGCAGCAGUGAGGAAUAUUGGUCAAUGGGCGGAAGCCUGAACCAGCCAAGUAGCGUGCAGGAUGACGGCCCUAUGGGUUGUAAACUGCUUUUAUACAGGAAUAAAGUUAGCCACGUGUGGUUAUUUGUAGGUACUGUAUGAAUAAGGACCGGCUAAUUCCGUGCCAGCCGCCGCCUGUAA
rnacentral:rRNA from 1 species